rnacentral:rRNA from 1 species
GAUGAACGCUGGCGGCGUGCCUAAUACAUGCAAGUCGAGCGAACAGACGAGGAGCUUGCUCCUCUGACGUUAGCGGCGGACGGGUGAGUAACACGUGGAUAACCUACCUAUAAGACUGGGAUAACUUCGGGAAACCGGAGCUAAUACCGGAUAAUAUAUUGAACCGCAUGGUUCAAUAGCGAAAGACGGUUUUGCUGUCACUUAUAGAUGGAUCCGCGCCGCAUUAGCUAGUUGGUAAGGUAACGGCUUACCAAGGCAACGAUGCGUAGCCGACCUGAGAGGGUGAUCGGCCACACUGGAACUGAGACACGGUCCAGACUCCUACGGGAGGCAGCAGUAGGGAAUCUUCCGCAAUGGGCGAAAGCCUGACGGAGCAACGCCGCGUGAGUGAUGAAGGUCUUCGGAUCGUAAAACUCUGUUAUUAGGGAAGAACAAAUGUGUAGGUAACUAUGCACGUCUUGACGGUACCUAAUCAGAAAGCCACGGCUAACUACGUG